rnacentral:rRNA from 1 species
UACGUAGGGGGCGAGCGUUGUCCGGAUUCAUUGGGCGUAAAGCGCGGGCAGGCGGUCCGGUAAGUCCGCUCUGAAAGUCCGGGGCUCAACCCCGGGAGGCGGGCGGAUACUGUCGGGCUAGAGUCCGGAAGAGGCGAGUGGAAUUCCUGGUGUAGCGGUGAAAUGCGCAGAUAUCAGGAGGAACACCAAUGGCGAAGGCAGCUCGCUGGGACGGUACUGACGCUGAGGCGCGAAAGCGUGGGGAGCAAACAGG